rnacentral:lncRNA from 1 species
UUUGGAUUUAGGUUCUUUCAUCAUGAAACCCCAAAUUUAUGGAAUCUGUUGGGAUUAUCAUGGGAGAUGCUGAAUAUACUUGAACUACAGUAAGGGCACAAAACUGGAGUUAACAAGAGCAAAACAUUCCAAACACUGAUGUCGAGUCUUCCAUGUACUUCAUACGUCACUGAAGCAAUAGUAGCUGGAUCUGUGCUCUGUGUUGCAGACCACCACUCCCUGCCCUGGGUUUGCCCAGGGCUAACACUGGCAUUGCAGCAGAGGAUGGCCCUUAGGAUUGGCAAUGACCGCUGUAGGACAAAGUCUCGAUUUUACAAGCUUGAAAAACACAGCUGCAGCCUCUUACUGCAGCUCUGCAAGCAGGCAGUGCCCUGCCACACAGCAAACAAGCACCAGCUGCAUUUCUGCUUGACCAAAACAUCAGGAUCUGACUUCGAGGUGUUUGUUACCACUUUGUAAAGGUUAGAAAAAAACACUGAACCCUACGUGGUAAGUCCUUAGCACGCUGACUUAUACCCUUGGACAUAUGGAAGAAGAACCACAAGCUGGAAAUUCCUUGGAGAUGAGGGAGUGAACAAACGCCCACUCCAUUCAGGGCUACUGCUCCAGUUGCCUGGUCUGUAAGAAUAGCAUCAUAAAGAUGUUUCCCUAACCUCCCUUUCCAACCAAAUUAAAAACAAUAAUGAAUGGUGAACGUUUUAAUUGGUCUAUUAAUUUACCGCCAAAUUUCAGUGAGUGGCUGAAGCUCUUUGCGCUGUUGCUUAGACUUGCUGGUGAACUCUGAAUUAUCAGUAAUACUGAGAAGUGGCGAUAAAUUCAUUUAUGCUGAUAACUCCAAAUCCUUGAAUUCACCACUGCCUCAGUCUGUUGAGACUGGUAUAUAAUGAAGCCUCUUGGGCAAAAGGGCAGGUGAGGUGUCCCUGCUGCCCUUCACAUUUGGAUGUGGAAGAUUUUGCCUAUUGUUCCUCAGUAUUUGUCUACCUGAGUUAACAUUUCUCAAAGCACAGCAGAGAAACCUGUGCCCAGCCCCACAGUGCUCUGGGUAGAUAGUUUAUAUUCCUUUGUUAUAGCUCUACCCUAAUAUCAAGGCACGGAAGUAGAGGUACUGUGAAUUUUACACUCUGUUGCCCCAAGAUGGGCUCUCAAAUAUUUCCUUUUUCUUGGACAAGUAAAGAACUUUGCCUCUGAACCCACUAGACAUCUGGGGCAGGCUACCCAUGGAAGAAAGGAGAGCAGGGGCAGGCAUGAAGAUAAGGCCAUGCCAUGAAAGCAAGGGAGCAGGGCCCUCAGUCAGCAACACAGUAGUCAAGCUCUUUCUUCCCUGUGUCCCCUGGGACUAUUCAUAGCCCUAGAAAUACCGAGGAAUUACGG